CCAAGAGAAACUUCCAAAAUGCAGAAUUUCAGAUCUUUCCUCAGACCUACUGAAUCAGAACAUGGAGGAUAUAGGUCCUAAAAACUUGUGUUUUUCAUGAAGCUCCCCAGAUACACUUAAAAUUGGUGGCAAAUUUUAAUGGAGUAGAAAGACUUUCCUACGUAUCCUCUGCAUUUGAAGUUCCAAGAAAGAUGUUCCAAGAAUAAUUUGCUCUAAAGAGGGUCAGAAUCAUCAAUAUCAGUAUCUUCCACUUCUACAUCUUGUCGCACUGGAAGGUCUUCAGGGGCAAUAGCAAGCACGGAACUGUCAUCUCCUAUGAGGACAAUGCACUAGGUUUGUUUACA